rnacentral:tRNA from 1 species
UGGUUAGAGUUUUAGGUUGUGGUUCUAAAAGUCACAGGUUCAAGUCCUGUUAUUC